rnacentral:lncRNA from 1 species
CGAAGACGAAGAAUAUACUGGUGGCCAUUGCCGUGGACUUCAUCGUCGUUGUUUUUGCACUACAGAAUGUGAAUUAUGAGUAUAAUUUAUGAUAUGUACUAAAGAAGAAGUUUGAGAGAAUUAAUGUACUCUUGGAUAAAGAUAGAGUGCCUAUUUUUAUUUCUAAAUAUUAUUAUGAAACAUAAAUGGUUAAAAUGAUUAAACAAUUGAUAAUCACAAUUAAUUUAUGAACAUUACGAGUAAAGGACCAAAAUACUUAAUUGAAGGUCAUGAUUUGUAGAUUACUAUACUUGUCAUCCUUACUAAAAAGAUAUGCCUUAAAAUACUUGUCAUUUUAGAAGCUCAAAGACAAAAUCAAUCUUUUCUCAUUUUACCCUUUGCAGUAAUAGUUCUUGAAAGCUACAAACACCGCCUAGAUAUGAGAGCUGUUGGAUGUUGCUCAAUCCUGCUAUAACUUAACAACUAAAAAGCUCUAUGUCAAAUUUCAGCCCCUUCGAGUUGGCCGUAGAGUUAUAGACUUUAACAUCCCACACCAUUGCAAUAGGAGGGGCUUUGCCCAUCAGCCUAUUUUGCCAAGAGAUGGCAGGAGCACAACGACCUUAGUCCAAACCUACUUAAAUAACCUAAUGGCUUGUCCCAGUCUGAAAGUAGACCUUGUAGAAAAGUUGAUAGGAAAGGUAGCCUAUAGAAUCAAGCGAUCAGUUCGGUGAAAACUAAUCCUAUAUUUCAUGUAAGACAGUUGACUUCGAUUAGAUCAGACAACUCUAGAGAGGAACAUACCCACAACGGCACCAUCAGAUGUUGUAGAUAACCCUACUAAAGAUAAAGUAGAGUAUAUCAUAGCUGAUCGCACCAUGGGCUAGCCGAUACACCCAUUGUACGAGCGGAAUACUACUUAAUCAAGUAAAAAGUCUAACUUGAGAGCAAGGCAAACCGAAAAGGGGCUGAUACUUGGGAUUUGAAGACCAAGUCAGAGAUUACUAGACGUCUUGCAAAUUGACUCUUAAUGAGGAGGUUGAGACUGUUCGAAAAAAAUGAUCUUUUGGAUUAAUCUGCCUUCACAAAAGAAAAAAAAGUACACUUGUACUCGAAUAAUAAGGAAAAUAUUUUUUUUCUAGACAGAGGAGUAUAAAAAAUGUGUUGUGCUUAAUUCAUAAGAUUCUAUUGUCAAUAGCAUUAGUAUAUUAUUUUACUUGGUUUACCUCUCCCAUGACUUUCUGGACCAACCAAUUUGAAUCUGCCUUCGCAAGUCUCUCUGCAUUUUGGUAGCAGAGCAUGCAGCAAAUCGAGCAAUGAAUCUUAGAAGAAUUCCACAUUGAAGUACAACUUUGUUUAUUUCAGUGUUGGCACUUGAGGUGUCUCUCUUCUUCUUUCAAUUGAAACACUUGAUGCAGAUGCUCCGCUGGCCUUUACUUCUCCACUGGUAAUUCUAAAAUAGAAAGAAUAUAAAUAAAGGUGCAUAUGUAGGAAACCUCAUCCCUGACCUCUUUUUAAAAUUC